rnacentral:tRNA from 1 species
GGCUAGGUAGCUCAGUCGGUAGUAGCGUUCGCCUGAAAAGUGAAAGGUCGCCGGUUCGAUUCCGGCCCUAGCCA